rnacentral:tRNA from 1 species
CCGAAAAUGUUGGUUUUAACCCUUCCUGUACUA